CGGGACACGUGGUAUCCUGUCUGAAUAUGGGGGGACCAUCCUCCAAGGCUAAAUACUCCUGACUGACCGAUAGUGAACCAGUACCGUGAGGGAAAGGCGAAAAGAACCCCGGCGAGGGGAGUGAAAAAGAACCUGAAACCGUGUACGUACAAGCAGUGGGAGCACGCUUAGGCGUGUGACUGCGUACCUUUUGUAUAAUGGGUCAGCGACUUAUAUUCUGUAGCAAGGUUAACCGAAUAGGGGAGCCGAAGGGAAACCGAGUCUUAACUGGGCGUUAAGUUGCAGGGUAUAGACCCGAAACCCGGUGAUCUAGCCAUGGGCAGGUUGAAGGUUGGGUAACACUAACUGGAGGACCGAACCGACUAAUGUUGAAAAAUUAGCGGAUGACUUGUGGCUGGGGGUGAAAGGCCAAUCAAACCGGGAGAUAGCUGGUUCUCCCCGAAAGCUAUUUAGGUAGCGCCUCGUGAAUUCAUCUCCGGGGGUAGAGCACUGUUUCGGCAAGGGGGUCAUCCCGACUUACCAACCCGAUGCAAACUGCGAAUACCGGAGAAUGUUAUCACGGGAGACACACGGCGGGUGCUAACGUCCGUCGUGAAGAGGGAAACAACCCAGACCGCCAGCUAAGGUCCCAAAGUCAUGGUUAAGUGGGAAACGAUGUGGGAAGGCCCAGACAGCCAGGAUGUUGGCUUAGAAGCAGCCAUCAUUUAAAGAAAGCGUAAUAGCUCACUGGUCGAGUCGGCCUGCGCGGAAGAUGUAACGGGGCUAAACCAUGCACCGAAGCUGCGGCAGCGACGCUUAUGCGUUGUUGGGUAGGGGAGCGUUCUGUAAGCCUGCGAAGGUGUGCUGUGAGGCAUGCUGGAGGUAUCAGAAGUGCGAAUGCUGACAUAAGUAACGAUAAAGCGGGUGAAAAGCCCGCUCGCCGGAAGACCAAGGGUUCCUGUCCAACGUUAAUCGGGGCAGGGUGAGUCGACCCCUAAGGCGAGGCCGAAAGGCGUAGUCGAUGGGAAACAGGUUAAUAUUCCUGUACUUGGUGUUACUGCGAAGGGGGGACGGAGAAGGCUAUGUUGGCCGGGCGACGGUUGUCCCGGUUUAAGCGUGUAGGCUGGUUUUCCAGGCAAAUCCGGAAAAUCAAGGCUGAGGCGUGAUGACGAGGCACUACGGUGCUGAAGCAACAAAUGCCCUGCUUCCAGGAAAAGCCUCUAAGCAUCAGGUAACAUCAAAUCGUACCCCAAACCGACACAGGUGGUCAGGUAGAGAAUACCAAGGCGCUUGAGAGAACUCGGGUGAAGGAACUAGGCAAAAUGGUGCCGUAACUUCGGGAGAAGGCACGCUGAUAUGUAGGUGAAGUCCCUCGCGGAUGGAGCUGAAAUCAGUCGAAGAUACCAGCUGGCUGCAACUGUUUAUUAAAAACACAGCACUGUGCAAACACGAAAGUGGACGUAUACGGUGUGACGCCUGCCCGGUGCCGGAAGGUUAAUUGAUGGGGUCAGCGCAAGCGAAGCUCUUGAUCGAAGCCCCGGUAAACGGCGGCCGUAACUAUAACGGUCCUAAGGUAGCGAAAUUCCUUGUCGGGUAAGUUCCGACCUGCACGAAUGGCGUAAUGAUGGCCAGGCUGUCUCCACCCGAGACUCAGUGAAAUUGAACUCGCUGUGAAGAUGCAGUGUACCCGCGGCAAGACGGAAAGACCCCGUGAACCUUUACUAUAGCUUGACACUGAACAUUGAGCCUUGAUG
rnacentral:rRNA from 1 species